rnacentral:rRNA from 1 species
CCAGACUCCUACGGGAGGCAGCAGUGGGGAAUAUUGGGCAAUGGGCGCAAGCCUGACCCAGCAACGCCGCGUGAAGGAAGAAGGCUUUCGGGUUGUAAACUUCUUUUAAGAGGGAAGAGAAGAAGACGGUACCUCUUGAAUAAGCCACGGCUAACUACGUGCCAGCAGCCGCGGUAAUACGUAGGGGGCAAGCGUUAUCCGGAUUUACUGGGUGUAAAGGGAGCGUAGGCGGCGACGCAAGCCAGAAGUGAAAGCCCGGGGCUCAACUCCGGGACUGCUUUUGAAACUGCGUUGCUAGAUUGCGGGAGAGGCAAGUGGAAUUCCUAGUGUAGCGGUGAAAUGCGUAGAUAUUAGGAGGAACACCAGUGGCGAAGGCGGCUUGCUGGACCGUGAAUGACGCUGAGGCUCGAAAGCGUGGGGAGCAAACAGGAUUAGAUACCCCAGUAA